rnacentral:rRNA from 1 species
GUCGAACGCUGAAGCCCGAAGCUUGCUUCGGGUGGAUGAGUGGCGAACGGGUGAGUAACACGUGAGUAACCUGCCCCUGAUUUCGGGAUAAGCCUGGGAAACCGGGUCUAAUACCGGAUACGACCAUCCCUCGCAUGAGGGUUGGUGGAAAGUUUUUCGAUCAGGGAUGGGCUCGCGGCCUAUCAGCUUGUUGGUGGGGUAAUGGCCCACCAAGGCGACGACGGGUAGCCGGCCUGAGAGGGCGACCGGCCACACUGGGACUGAGACACGGCCCAGACUCCUACGGGAGGCAGCAGUGGGGAAUAUUGCACAAUGGGGGAAACCCUGAUGCAGCGACGCAGCGUGCGGGAUGACGGCCUUCGGGUUGUAAACCGCUUUCAGCAGGGAAGAAGCGAAAGUGACGGUACCUGCAGAAGAAGUACCGGCUAACUACGUGCCAGCAGCCGCGGUAAUACGUAGGGUACGAGCGUUGUCCGGAAUUAUUGGGCGUAAAGAGCUCGUAGGUGGUUGGUCACGUCUGCUGUGGGAACGCAACGCUUAACGUUGCGCGUGCAGUGGGUACGGGCUGACUAGAGUGCAGUAGGGGAGUCUGGAAUUCCUGGU